rnacentral:tRNA from 1 species
GGAGUGUGGACGUGCACGCAGGCUAGAAUACCUGCCUGUCACGCAGGGGGUCGCGGGUUCGAAUCCCGUCCAUUCCGCCA